AUUGAACGCUGGCGGCAGGCCUAACACAUGCAAGUCGAGCGGAUGAAGGGAGCUUGCUCCUGGAUUCAGCGGCGGACGGGUGAGUAAUGCCUAGGAAUCUGCCUGGUAGUGGGGGAUAACGUCCGGAAACGGGCGCUAAUACCGCAUACGUCCUGAGGGAGAAAGUGGGGGAUCUUCGGACCUCACGCUAUCAGAUGAGCCUAGGUCGGAUUAGCUAGUCGGUGGGGUAAAGGCCUACCAAGGCGACGAUCCGUAACUGGUCUGAGAGGAUGAUCAGUCACACUGGAACUGAGACACGGUCCAGACUCCUACGGGAGGCAGCAGUGGGGAAUAUUGGACAAAGGGCGAAAGCCUGAUCCAGCCAUGCCGCGUGUGUGAAGAAGGUCUUCGGAUUGUAAAGCACUUUAAGUUGGGAGGAAGGGCAGUAAGUUAAUACCUUGCUGUUUUGACGUUACCAACAGAAUAAGCACCGGCUAACUUCGUG
rnacentral:rRNA from 1 species